ensembl:lncRNA
CUCCUCUCCUCUCUCCUCUCCUCUCCUCUCCUCCUCUCCUCUCCUCUUCCGUUUCCGGUGUGUGAGUGUGAGCGGCGGUGGUGGGGGUGCGAGUGGCGCGGAGUUUUGAAUUGUUUGCUGUCCCUUUUUCACGGUUUUCCCUGGUUUCUCCGUCUGUUCUAUGUGCAUGAUCAGUGGUUCCUGUAGUUUGUGAUUCCAGCUCCUGUCACUGACAUUGCUGUCAGUCACUUUGCAAGCAACGACUACCUCCACCUUGGACACCGAGGCCCUGGAAACCGUGGCAACAGAAUGGGGUAACUGAAGCAUCUGUUAGAGGCGAUGAGGGAGCCGUUCUGGCACGCGGAGGACUCUCCAGCUGAACCCGGGUCUACUGCACAAUGCCCUGCUCUGUUUGGCAGCAUCGUGAAGAACCUUUUCCUUCAACGUUUGAAUCAGGAUGGUGAAGCCUGGACCCGCUUUGCUCUGCUGGGUCUGGUGCUCUGGUCCUGGUCUCCUGGGGGGCCCGGGGUCUCCUGGGGGGCCCGGGGGGCCCCUAGUCUCCUGGGGGCCCCGGGGUCUACUGGUCCAGCCACACUUGGCUCCUCCAUGGUGACCUGCUCCAGUCCACUUGACGUCCAGGACCAUUGAGGCUCUUCUGCUCCAGCAGUACUCUUGUCUCUCGUGCAGCAGACGAGUGUGACCGUGGUACUGGGAGUCGGGCAUUGCUUGUUGAAAUAUGGGACUUAUUUUAGUUUAAUGUCUUGACUUUAAAACGCUCCUCUUUAGGUGCAGUCACUCCUAUGCUCAUGGAAGAACCUUUUUGCUUCAUGCUACUUUUUAGCAACUUGGUCAUUUGUCUUUAGAAAUUGCACUGAUUGAAGCUGGUUUUCUUGUUCUCUGCCUUGCCUGUAGGAUUGUCAUUUUUAACACCAUUCCUGGCUAUUUAAAAGCCCUUAAAGUUUUGUCACUAUCGAAAGCCAAUAUGCUACCAGUUGGUGGUUCAACACUGGGUAGUCAUGCAGAUGCCAGACUGGCCUGGAGGGAUGUAUGUAUUGGUACCUUCACCCCAUUCAGUAGUUUAAAAGAAUGGUGUUAGGUAACACUUAUUUUUUCAGUAAAGGGGUGAUCUAACUAACUACUGUUUUUGACGUUACCAUUACUGUACGUUAAAUGCAGUGCGUUACUAUGUAUGAUUGAAUAAACUGCGUUAUCCGAACGCACCCCUGGCUCCAAAAACAAACUGCUAGUGAGGAGACAGGGUGGGUUAAACAACGAGACAAGCGAUUAUGAUUGGCUAAGGCAGUCAUGUUUCAUGGUAGCCAAUCGGAACCAGUGUUUUUACACAAAAGCCAGGGCACGUAAGCACACACAAUUUAAUUUGCUAUCGAGUUAAGCACACUUUAUAUCGUUUACUUUUAUUACAAAGAUAAGACUUGACGUGCAGGACAAACCACUUGCUGUCUGUUGAUGUGAAAUAAAUAUCGACGGCUAUGUACCUCUCUGUUCUGCUCAUUUCAACUGACUUGUGAAAUAUCUGAAUUCUUUGACAUAGCAAUUUAUUUUAUAAUAAACCAAAUAGGUACUUUCCCUGGUAACUAGUUACUUUUUUUUAUAGAGUAAUUCAGUUACUAACUCGGGUACUUUUUGGAACAAGUAGUGAC